rnacentral:ncRNA from 1 species
CUGCAGAGUAGAAGCGUUCAGCGACGGCCGUCCCAUCGCCUGCCGUCGCCCGGAAAUUGCUCGAGUC